GAUGAACGCUGGCGGCGUGCAUAACACAUUCAAGUCGAACGGUGAAGUCCCUUCGGGGACGGAUCAGUGGCGGACGGGUGAGUAACGCGUGAGCAACCUGCCUCAUACUCAGGGAUAACACAGGGAAACUUGUGCUAAUACCGGAUAACAUAUUGGGAAUGCAUGUUUCUGAUAUCAAAGCUCCGGCGGUGUGAGAUGGGCUCGCGUAUGAUUAGAUAGUUGGCAGGGUAACGGCCUACCAAGUCUACGAUCAUUAGCCGAACUGAGAGGUUGAACGGCCACAUUGGAACUGAGAAACGGUCCAGACUCCUACGGGAGGCAGCAGUGGGGAAUAUUGGGCAAUGGGCGAAAGCCUGACCCAGCGACGCCGCGUGCGGGAAGACGGUCCUCGGAUUGUAAACCGCUUCAGCAGGGAAGAAGCAAGUGACGGUACCUGCAGAAGAAGUCACGGCUAACUACGUGCCAGCAGCCGCCGUAAUAC
rnacentral:rRNA from 1 species